rnacentral:snRNA from 1 species
GGAUGUGAGGUUUGCCUGGCUGCAAUAUCUGUUAACCCUUUAAUCCCCACGGUUGACUGGGCUGAUCUGUCUGGCUAGGCAAGUGUCCCCUUCCUCCCUCACCAUUCCAUGUGCAUCCCUCCUAAAGCUACACAGUUGGUCAAAGAGGACAAUCUUCCUCAAUAAAAGGGGACCAUUCUUCAGUCAAGAGUAUCUGAGUAGUUGUGCUCCCCUCUAGAACUCCAAACAAGCUUUCAAAGUCCACUCACAGGAAAACACAGGGUAGUCAAGCUUCCAAGCCUCCAGACUCAUUUAAAGGGGGCACUGCAUGUGGCAGUCUGCCUUUCUAU